GCAGAGCACGGAUCUAACAAUGUCAACUGUGCUGACAUCAUCCUAGCUGUGCAGGGCUGAUGGGAAUUCAGAAUAUCAAACAUCAUAUCAAGGGCAGUGAGCAGGUAUCAUCUAGUGAACUGUUCAGAUGCAACUGAAUUGAAAAGGAGCUGAACAAAAGAUCCUGAGAGAGACUUCAACAAAAAGUAAAAUGGAUUUUAUCAUACUUGAAAAAUCAACAAUUGCAGUCUGGAUUCAUACAUCACUGUCUGAUGCACCCAACUUGAGUCAAAAAGAUGUUUCAAAUCCCACUAGGCUGGAGGCAAAAAUACUCAAGAGUUUAAGAGCGUCUCUUGACAGUGUACAGAAUAAGAUAGCUUCUCAGCUUUCAGCUUUACUUCACGGUUUUAACUAUCAAAAGAAGCAAGCCAUCUGAAGAUUUGCCUGAGACUGAAGGAUCCACUUCUGCGACGACUCCCUCAGGACUUAUAAUGCAGAUGGAACCAGAUUGAGAAAAACCAGCCAACCAACCAACCAACAUGAUGGCUGAACCAGACAAGAGAAGUCCCGAAGUAAAAUACCCACCAAUUACCAGAAUCUGUGCCUGCCAUACAUCGAAGUCUCUGACUUCUUUAUUCCACAUGACUCUGCAAAUCUACGUCUGAACUUAUAUUCUCCUGAAACCAGAACGGAUGAAACUCAUUAGAUGCUCCAGCCUGGGGGAUUAAUGUUUACCUUGAUUUAAUGUCUCAUCAGAAGCAUGACAUCCACAGCACUCUGGCUGCAGCAGGAUUAAAUGAAGCAUGGCCGUUUCUUCAAGAGAGACUUAAACUUCAAGCCUUUAGCCCUAGAGGGAAUGGGCAGGAGAUGAAGAGAGAGUAAAAAUCUAUUGAACUACCAA
rnacentral:lncRNA from 1 species